UAAAGUCUAAUCUGCCCACUGAUAUAAUAUUAAAGGGSUGCAGUAUUUUGACUGUACAAAGGUAGCAUAAUCAUUAGUCUUUUAAUUGAAGACUUGUAUGAAUGAUUGGAUGAAAUAUAAACUGUCUCUAAUAUUAUUAGUUAGAAUUUAAUUUUUUUAUUAAAAAGUAAAAAUAAAUUUAAAAGACGAGAAGACCCUAUAGAGUUUUAUAAUUAAUUUAAUUGAAAUUAUUUAUAAAGAUAAUUUUAAAUUAAUAAAUUAAAAUUAAGUUAAUUAUUUUGUUGGGGUGAUAAAAAAAUAAAAAUAACUUUUUUUAAUAAAUAUAUAUAUAUAUAUAUAUAUAUAUUGUAAACAAAAAUAAAUGAUUUUUUGAUCCAGAAUUUUUGAUUAUAAGAAAAAAUUACCUUAGGGAUAACAGCGUAAUUUUUUUUUUUAGUUCAAAUAAGAAAAAGAGUUUGCGACCUCGAUGUUGGAUUAAGGAAAAAUUUAAAUGCAAAAGUUUAAAAUUUUG
rnacentral:rRNA from 1 species